CACCCACCCCCACCCUCACUCCCAUCCCACCCCACACGUCACCAUGGCCACUGGCACCACGACCACUGCUCGGGAGCACCUCCUGGUGGUGCGGAGGCGAACACCCCACAUGCGUUACACGCUGGGACCGGAGAACCUUCGUAGCUUGUCGGCGCAGGGCGCCGGAAGCGGCACGGGGGCUUCCAGAGGGGGCGCGCCAGAACCCAUGGGCUUGCAGCGGGCCAACAGCGACACUGACCUGGUAACAUCCGACAGUCGAUCCUCGCUGACUGCAUCCACGUACCAGUUUACUCUGGGCCGAGGGCAGAAUCUCGUCAUCUCCUGGGACAUCAAGGAGGAGGUGGACGCCACGGAUUGGAUCGGACUGUACCACAUUGAUGAAACGUGUCUGGCUAAUGUGUGGGACUCAAAGAACCGAGGGAUUAAUGGCACUCAGAGGGGCCAGAUUGUCUGGAGACUGGAGCCUGGGCCCUAUUUUAUGGAGCCUGAGACCAAAAUCUGCUUUAAAUAUUACCAUGGAGUGAGUGGAGCACUGAGAGCAACGACCCCCUGCAUCACCGUGAAAAACCCUGGAGUCUUGGCCGGAGCAGAAGGACAAGUUGACGGGCAGUCAGUGACAGAGCACUGUCGAAAGCUUGUGAGCUUCACACUAUCAGAUAUCCGUGCUCAGGGUCUAAAGAAGGGCAUGUUCUUCAAUCCCGACCCGUACCUGAAGAUGAGCAUCCAGCCGGGCAAGAGGAGCGGCUUUCCUGCCUUCACUCACCACGGCCAAGAGAGACGAGCCUCCAUCAUAUCCAACACCACCAACCCCGUGUGGCACGGAGAGAAGUACACCUUCGUCGCUUUGGUGACUGACGUUCUGGAAAUUGAGGUCAAGGACAAAUUUGCUAAAAGUCGACCAAUCAUCAAGCGUUUUUUAGGGCAGCUGACCAUACCGGUGCAGAGGCUUCUGGAAAGACAUGCAUCAGGAGAUCAGCCCAUAAACUAUACGCUGUGUCGUCGCUUGCCCACAGACCACGUGAGCGGACAGCUUCAGUUCAGGGUGGAGAUCACCUCCACUGGUCAUGAGGAUGCUAUGGGCUCACUGCUGGGCGCCUCCUCUGUCAACGGAGAUCCAGGCAGUCCUUCUGACGAUGAAGACAUCAUGCCUCCGUCCUCUCGCAUGCCUAGAGGUCCUUCCCCCACUGGCUCUGAGGGCUCUCUUCACAGCGAGGCCUUUAGGACUGACGAAGGCCCGAUGGACCCUGAUGAAGAACGGAUCCUUAGGGAUGGAGCCUCGGAUUCGGUCGAGGGCGCUACGGGUCACACUCAGAGGCAGGUCUCCCUGAAUGACUAUUUGGACUCUAUCGAAGCUCCAAAGGGCCCUGGAGACCGUCCUCUGGGUGCCGCCUCUCCAAAACUGCGCUCUAGCUUUCCUACGGACACCAGACUUAACGCCAUGCUGCAUAUAGACUCUGACGAAGACGAAGAAGGACAAACCUCUCAGGAAACGUCCCUGGCCAAUGGGGUCCAGGCGACAGGCGGACAGACCCCGUCUGAACCCGAGCAGAAGGAGAGGGAGGGAAGUCGUGCUGGGGAUGAGGAAGCUGCAUCGUCGGAUAGCGGCAGCGGCCCAAGCCAAAACGGCAGGGCUGAAGGAAACCAGGAGGCAGGGGUCAGUUUAGAGCCAGCAACCCAGUCUGCUUCCACUGCCCAGCAGCCAGCGUCCACAGCUCAGGACAAGGAAGAACCAACAUCCAGUGAUGGAACCAGCGAGGAGGUGUUUGUAGCAGUAGAAGCCGCGGGCGGAGAAGCCGCGGGCGGAGAAGCCGCGGGCGGAGAAGCUGCGGGCGGAGAAGCCGCGGGCGGAGAAGCCACAGCAGCCAGCAGCAGCAGUGUAGCAAGUGAUGGAGCAGCCAAGCCGUCAGAAUCCAGCAGCUCUCAGGAGGAGUCUACCGGCGCCAAUAAAGCCAACGGAGAGGAGGAGGACGGUGAUGUGUGGAGGAGGAGACAAAGCUUACGGACAUUAAGGGACGGUUCUCAAACUGAAGAGACUGGGUCACCAGAAGCACGGAGAGCUUCGACCGAUCCAGCCCAGGUCACCACAGAAACGGACGGAGAGUUAGGGGCUAGUGCUCAGGUGAAUGGUCACCAGCCUGUUCGUUCUCUGCCUGCCGUACGUCACGACAUAAGCCGCUACCAGAGAGUGGAUGAGCCCCUACCACCAAACUGGGAGGCUCGUAUCGACAGCCACGGACGCAUCUUUUACGUGGAUCAUGUAAACAGGACAACCACCUGGCAGCGGCCCACUGCUCCACCUGCACCUCAGGUCCUACAGAGAUCCAACUCCAUCCAGCAGAUGGAGCAGCUCAACCGCCGUUACCAGAGCAUCCGGAGGACAAUAACCAAUGAACGGACGGACGAGCAGGCAGCGGAGAUGCCCUCUGAUGACACUGACCUGAUGCAUCACUCUAUUCCUGAGUACCGCAGGGACGGAGCAGUGGCACCUGCCAGCUCCCGCUCUCGCCUCUCUUUGCUGCUACAGUCUCCCAGCGCCAAGUUCCUUACCAGCCCUGACUUCUUCAGUGUGCUCCAUUCCAACCCUAGUGCCUACCGCAUGUUUACAAGCAACACGUGUCUCAAACACAUGAUCAGCAAGGUCCGACGGGACGCGCACCACUUCGAGCGCUACCAGCACAACCGGGACCUGGUCAGCUUCCUCAACCUGUUUGCCAACAAGCAGCUGGAGCUGCCGCGCGGCUGGGAGAUGAAGCACGACCACACUGGCAAGCCAUUCUUUGUGGACCAUAACUGCCGCGCCACCACCUUCACAGACCCCCGCUUACCCCUGCAGAGCGCUCGACCCAGCAGCCUCCUGGCCCACCGCCAGCACCUCAGCCGCCAGCGCAGCCACAGUGCCGGGGAGGUGAGCACACGGCGUCUGGUGGGUGAUGAUCCUCGUCACACCGGUCCGCCUGUGCUGCCCCGCCCCUCCAACACCUUCAACGCAGGCAGUCGCAAUCAGUGCCAGGAUGUGGUUCCUGUCGCCUACAAUGACAAAAUCGUGGCAUUUUUAAGGCAACCCAACAUAUUUGAGAUCCUGCAGGAGAGGCAGCCGGAGUUCAGUAGGAAUCAUUCACUCAGGGAGAAAGUGCAGUUCAUCCGAAACGAGGGAGCAACUGGCCUUGUCCGUCUCUCCAGUGAUGCAGAUUUGGUCAUUCUGCUUAGUUUGUUUGAAGAGGAAGUGAUGUCAUACGUGCCCCCCCAUUCCCUGCUUCACCCCAGCUACUGUCAGUCUCCGCGAGGCUCUCCUGUCUCCUCCCCGCAGAACUCCCCUGGUACACAACGAGCCAACGCCCGCGCUCCUGCCCCGUACAAACGAGACUUCGAGGCCAAACUCCGUAAUUUCUACCGCAAGCUGGAGACGAAGGGUUAUGGACAGGGACCGGGGAAGGUCAAACUUAUCAUACGCAGAGAUCACCUGCUAGAAGACGCUUUCAACCAGAUCAUGUGCUACUCCAGGAAGGACUUACAGCGCAGUAAACUUUACGUUAGCUUUGUUGGUGAGGAGGGGCUGGACUACAGUGGUCCAUCAAGAGAGUUUUUCUUUCUGGUGUCACGGGAACUAUUUAACCCCUACUACGGUCUGUUUGAGUACUCAGCCAACGAUACCUACACCGUCCAGAUCAGCCCCAUGUCUGCGUUUGUAGACAACCACCACGAAUGGUUUCGCUUCAGUGGACGUAUCCUGGGUCUGGCUCUGAUCCACCAGUACCUGCUUGACGCCUUCUUCACUCGGCCCUUCUACAAAGGACUGCUGCGCAUUCCGUGUGAUCUGAGUGAUCUGGAGUAUCUGGAUGAGGAGUUCCACCAGAGCCUGCAGUGGAUGAAGGACAACGAUAUCGAGGACAUGCUGGACCUCACCUUCACUGUGAAUGAGGAAGUGUUUGGACAGAUAACGGAACGGGAGCUGAAGCCUGGAGGUGCUAACAUCCCGGUCUCGGAGAAGAAUAAGAAGGAGUACAUUGAGCGCAUGGUGAAGUGGCGGAUAGAGAGAGGGGUUGUCCAGCAGACUGAAAGCUUGGUCCGAGGUUUCUACGAGGUUGUGGAUGCUCGGCUGGUUUCUGUGUUUGAUGCUCGGGAGCUGGAGCUGGUGAUCGCUGGAACAGCCGAAAUCGAUCUGGGAGACUGGAGGAACAACACUGAAUAUAGAGGAGGCUAUCAUGACAACCACAUUGUCAUUCGCUGGUUCUGGGCAGCGGUGGAGAGAUUUAACAAUGAGCAGAGACUCCGCCUGCUUCAGUUUGUGACCGGGACGUCCAGUAUACCCUACGAAGGCUUCGCUUCUCUCAGAGGCAGCAACGGACCUCGACGCUUCUGUGUGGAAAAGUGGGGCAAGAUCACCUCUUUACCCAGGGCUCACACCUGUUUUAAUCGUCUGGACCUCCCUCCAUACCCCUCCUUCUCCAUGCUGUAUGAGAAGAUGCUGACCGCAGUGGAGGAGACCAGCACCUUUGGGCUGGAGUGAGCUCUGACCUUCUGACCGUUUGGACGCUUACUCUCUAUAGACUGACUGCACUCCUCUCUGCUCUCCGAGAGCUUCUUCAGGAGAGACUGACUGAGAGCCUCAAAGUCGGGAGUUUCGUUCCUCGAUGAAGCUCGAUGGAGAAAAAACACACAAACAAACACAAACAAAUGAUCACAAAAGCACUUAGGAUCCAUUGUUUUGUUUUGUGCACUGUCUUACUUUGUUAUAUUCACGGGUGUAAAGGCUUUGGCGGCCGGCGGCGGGUGAUCGUGAGGACAUGCGCUCAGUUCAGUACUCCCAGCUGUGGAGGAAGUGGGAGGAAAAUGAACAAACACAUGACAGAGGUUCAGGACCAGGACUGAGCCUUUCCACGAUCGAGAAGCAGGAAGACGAAGAGUCCAGCGAUGUUACUGCCCAGACGAAACGUCGACAAGAUAAUGCUGAGACUGGAGUGAAUGUAAGGAGUUGCUUUGCGAGCAAACCAACUCCACACUGGACUCAACUCAAGCAGAUAAAACAGUUAAAACAGCUGAAAUUAGAGAGGCUCCACUGUAAUAAGUAGUGGAAAUCAUGUGUUUUUGCAAAGCUCUGAGCAGCAGAACUCAUAUGAGGAACGUAACAGUGUGACGAGCCGAUAUUGUACACUUCUUCUGCAAAAGCCUUGUUUUCUAACAACCACAGCGAUGCGGGGUGAAUGUACACACACACAAAUACUCACACAUACACACAACCUGUUACAGACGCAGCUUUGUAAUGAACCGCCACUGCUUUCUUAGAUCGCCUCAGUCUCGUGUUGCGACACGGGGAGGGGCAGACAGAACAACACUUGUCCCACACCUUAAUGUACUGUAUGUUUGAAAUGUAUGUAUACACAUCAGUUCCAGCAUAUUUAUAUACACUGCUACAUUUAAUUUCCUUUAUACUUAUUGUUUUGACACAGUAUGUUAUUCAGGUAGGCAGCCAGCUAGCCGGUCUGAGACACUGAAGAGACUGAAUUGACCAGCACGUGCAGCCCACAGCCGAGCAAGAAAUAUCUUUACACCCCAGACGCUUGCACUCAAGCUUCCUGGAUUUUUAACUUCACUGCCGUGACCUUGGACCUCCUGGAUUGUACGUAUUCCGAAUGUUUUGUAACGUCAGAAUUUGAACAAAAUCGUAAAACAUGCUGGAAAGAAGACACAAAAAAAUAUAUAUAAAAUAACAAAAAAAAAAACACUUGAACUUGAUCAGAUUGUUUGGCUCAUCAUAGCGUGCCUAGAUCAGAUCAGAUCAGAACAGACAGGUCCAACCCACGCUUCUCUCAUUUGACUGAAUUAGUUUCACGCCAUUACAGUUCCAUAUUUAUACUUGCACUAAGUGUACCAAAGGUUUAGGGACAGCUUGGGAUGUCCUAAUCUUCCUCUCUUUGUGGUUGUUUGACGAUGAGCAUAGAGUUUCACAUUUCUUUUAUCACUCAGACGUCCCUUCAUCGUUUUCUUGAAUUUACCAUUGUGCUACAAUUUGUAUCACAGUUUUUUCAUCUGAAAUGACUAUGUGAAAGUACUAUGUUGAGUUACAUAGUGGCUUUCUUUUUCUUUCUCCAGCAGGAUAUGUUCGAUUGCUUAAAUAAAUGAAAUUGUAAAACAAAAA